rnacentral:rRNA from 3 species
AAAUUGAAGAGUUUGAUCAUGGCUCAGAUUGAACGCUGGCGGCAGGCCUAACACAUGCAAGUCGAGCGGAAACGAGUUAUCUGAACCUUCGGGGGACGAUAACGGCGUCGAGCGGCGGACGGGUGAGUAAUGCCUAGGAAAUUGCCCUGAUGUGGGGGAUAACCAUUGGAAACGAUGGCUAAUACCGCAUGAUGCCUACGGGCCAAAGAGGGGGACCUUCGGGCCUCUCGCGUCAGGAUAUGCCUAGGUGGGAUUAGCUAGUUGGUGAGGUAAGGGCUCACCAAGGCGACGAUCCCUAGCUGGUCUGAGAGGAUGAUCAGCCACACUGGAACUGAGACACGGUCCAGACUCCUACGGGAGGCAGCAGUGGGGAAUAUUGCACAAUGGGCGCAAGCCUGAUGCAGCCAUGCCGCGUGUGUGAAGAAGGCCUUCGGGUUGUAAAGCACUUUCAGUCGUGAGGAAGGUAGUGUAGUUAAUAGCUGCAUUAUUUGACGUUAGCGACAGAAGAAGCACCGGCUAACUCCGUGCCAGCAGCCGCGGUAAUACGGAGGGUGCGAGCGUUAAUCGGAAUUACUGGGCGUAAAGCGCAUGCAGGUGGUUUGUUAAGUCAGAUGUGAAAGCCCGGGGCUCAACCUCGGAAUAGCAUUUGAAACUGGCAGACUAGAGUACUGUAGAGGGGGGUAGAAUUUCAGGUGUAGCGGUGAAAUGCGUAGAGAUCUGAAGGAAUACCGGUGGCGAAGGCGGCCCCCUGGACAGAUACUGACACUCAGAUGCGAAAGCGUGGGGAGCAAACAGGAUUAGAUACCCUGGUAGUCCACGCCGUAAACGAUGUCUACUUGGAGGUUGUGGCCUUGAGCCGUGGCUUUCGGAGCUAACGCGUUAAGUAGACCGCCUGGGGAGUACGGUCGCAAGAUUAAAACUCAAAUGAAUUGACGGGGGCCCGCACAAGCGGUGGAGCAUGUGGUUUAAUUCGAUGCAACGCGAAGAACCUUACCUACUCUUGACAUCCAGAGAACUUUCCAGAGAUGGAUUGGUGCCUUCGGGAACUCUGAGACAGGUGCUGCAUGGCUGUCGUCAGCUCGUGUUGUGAAAUGUUGGGUUAAGUCCCGCAACGAGCGCAACCCUUAUCCUUGUUUGCCAGCGAGUAAUGUCGGGAACUCCAGGGAGACUGCCGGUGAUAAACCGGAGGAAGGUGGGGACGACGUCAAGUCAUCAUGGCCCUUACGAGUAGGGCUACACACGUGCUACAAUGGCGCAUACAGAGGGCGGCCAACUUGCGAAAGUGAGCGAAUCCCAAAAAGUGCGUCGUAGUCCGGAUUGGAGUCUGCAACUCGACUCCAUGAAGUCGGAAUCGCUAGUAAUCGUGGAUCAGAAUGCCACGGUGAAUACGUUCCCGGGCCUUGUACACACCGCCCGUCACACCAUGGGAGUGGGCUGCAAAAGAAGUAGGUAGUUUAACCUUCGGGGGGACGCUUACCACUUUGUGGUUCAUGACUGGGGUGAAGUCGUAACAAGGUAGCGCUAGGGGAACCUGGCGCUGGAUCACCUCCUUA